rnacentral:rRNA from 1 species
UACGUAGGGAGCAAGCGUUGUUCGGAUUUACUGGGCGUAAAGGGCGCGUAGGCGGCGCGGUAAGUCACUUGUGAAAUCUCUGAGCUUAACUCAGAACGGCCAAGUGAUACUGCAGUGCUAGAGUGCAGAAAGGGCAAUCAGAAUUCUUGGUGUAGCGGUGAAAUGCGUAGAUAUCAAGAGGAAUACCUGAGGCGAAGGCGGGUUGCUAGGCUGACACUGACGCUGAGGCGCGAAAGCCAGGGGAGCAAACGGG